rnacentral:rRNA from 1 species
UUCGCAAUGCCCGAAAGGGUGACGAAGCGACGCCGCGUGCGGGAGGAAGGCCUUCGGGUUGUAAACCGCUGUCGGGAGUUAAGAAAUGCAAGGAUGUUAAUAGCGUUCUUGCUUGACUAAGGCUCCGGAGGAAGCCACGGCUAACUCUGUGCCAGCAGCCGCGGUAAUACAGAGGCGGCAAGCGUUGUUCGGAAUUAUUGGGCGUAAAGAGCACGUAGGCGGCUAUGUAAGUCGGUUGUGAAAGCCUUCCGCUCAACGGAAGAACAGCAUCCGAUACUACAUGGCUUGAGUGCGGGAGGGGAGAGUGGAACUUCUGGUGGAGCGGUGAAAUGCGUAGAUAUCAGAAGGAACGCUGGCGGCGAAAGCGGCUCUCUGGCCCAUAACUGACGCUGAGCGUGCGAAAGCUAGGGGAGCAAACGGGAUUAGAUACCCCGGUAGUCCUAGCCGUAAACGAUGGGCACUAAGUAGAGGGGUUUU